rnacentral:tRNA from 1 species
GGGGGUAUAGCUCAGUGGGAGAGCCCAUGACUAGCAUACACAAUGUCCUGGAUUCAAUUCCCAGUACCUCUG